CGGGUGAGUAACGCGUGGGUAACCUGCCUCAUACAGGGGGAUAACAGUUAGAAAUGACUGCUAAUACCGCAUAAGCGCACAAAACCGCAUGGUUUGGUGUGAAAAACUGAGGUGGUAUGAGAUGGACCUGCGUCUGAUUAGCUAGUUGGAGAGGUAACGGCUCACCAAGGCAACGAUCAGUAGCCGACCUGAGAGGGUGACCGGCCACAUUGGGACUGAGACACGGCCCAAACUCCUACGGGAGGCAGCAG
rnacentral:rRNA from 1 species